rnacentral:rRNA from 1 species
GAUUGAACGCUGGCGGCAUGCUUUACACAUGCAAGUCGAACGGCAGCGCGGGCUUCGGCCUGGCGGCGAGUGGCGAACGGGUGAGUAAUACAUCGGAACGUGCCCAGUAGUGGGGGAUAGCUCGGCGAAAGCCGGAUUAAUACCGCAUACGACCUGAGGGUGAAAGCGGGGGUUCUUCGGCCCUCGCGCUUUUGGAGCGGCCGAUGGCAGAUUAGCUAGUUGGUGGGGUAAAGGCCUACCAAGGCGACGAUCUGUAGCUGGUCUGAGAGGACGACCAGCCACACUGGGACUGAGACACGGCCCAGACUCCUACGGGAGGCAGCAGUGGGGAAUUUUGGACAAUGGGCGAAAGCCUGAUCCAGCAAUGCCGCGUGUGUGAUGAAGGCCUUCGGGUUGUAAAGCACUUUUGGCGGGAACGAAAAGGACUGUGCCAAUACCACGGUUCGAUGACGGUACCCGCAGAAUAAGCACCGGCUAACUACGUG